UGUCCAAAUUACAAAUGUGUCGACUGGA
rnacentral:sRNA from 1 species